AGAUGCGAUCAUACCAGCACUAAUACACCGGAUCCCAUCAAAACUCCGCAGUUAAGCGGGCUUGGGCGAGAGUAGUACUAGGAUGGGUGACCUCCCGGAAACUCCUCGUGUUGCAUCCC
rfam:Arabidopsis thaliana chromosome 5, complete sequence.